AUGAGCUCAUGAGCUGGUUGAGCCAGCACAACAAGCUGGAGCCAGGUAUGGUGACCUGUGCCUGUGGUCUCAGCUACUCUGGAGGCUGAGGCAGGAAGACUGCAUGAGCCCAGAAAUUCGAGGUUACAGUGAACUAUGAUCACACCACUUGUCUCCAGCCUAGGUGACACAGUGAGACUCUCUCAAACAAACUACAACAACAACAACAAAUGAAUAUAUUUCCCAAUUGUAUCAAGAAUGCAAUGAAAGAGUACUAUGGUUCUGUCCAAAUAGGAUUCAACUGGCCAAAGGUGGG
rnacentral:lncRNA from 13 species